rnacentral:rRNA from 1 species
AUGGCGCCGCUCGUGCGGGAGCUGUGGGAGAUGGAAGAGCUCGUGGAGGAGAUCCUCAUCCGCAUCCUGCCGGAGGAGCCCGCUGUACUCAUACGCGCCUCCCUCGCCUGCAAGCCUUGGUGCCGCCUUCUCUCCGGCAACGGCUUCCGCAGCCGCUACCUCACCUUGCACAGAACUCCUCCCAUCCUAGGCUUCUUACAAAGCUGGGAAGACACCGUCGAGCGCUUCGUUCCCACGACAAACUUCUGCCCCCGCAAUCCCGAUCGGCGGGAGAGUUUAGUGAUGGACUGCCACCAUGGCCGCGUUCUUCUUGAGUGUGACUGGGAUGAGGCGGAGGAUGAGAAGGAAAAUGAAGGGGAGAAAGCUGGCAAGGAGGAGGAGGAAAAACAAGAUGAUGCGGAGGAGGAAGGAGAUUUAGAUGUGGAGGAGGAGGAAGGAACCUUGAAGAUGGUCGUCUGGGACCCGGUGUCGGGAAGCCGAACGAAGUUGCGCGGUCUUGACAUCUUCGACCCUGACAUCAACGGCUCAAGCUAUCGGGGCACGGUGCUAUGUGCGUUGGAUGGCUGCAACCACGCUGCCUGCAACUUGGGCCCAUUUUUCGUGGUUUUCAUCAGCCUUGACGAGCAGGAUGAGGAUGAUGAGAUCCAGGAUGACAAUUAUAUAUGA